UAAUACAUGCAAGUCGAGCGGAUCUGAUGAGGUGCUUGCACCUCUGAUGGUUAGCGGCGGACGGGUGAGUAACACGUAGGCAACCUGCCUGCAGGACCGGGAUAACAUUCGGAAACGAAUGCUAAUACCGGAUACACGAUUUCCUCGCAUGGGGAGAUCAGGAAAGACGGAGCAAUCUGUCACCUGUGGAUGGGCCUGCGGCGCAUUAGCUAGUUGGUGGGGUAACGGCCUACCAAGGCGACGAUGCGUAGCCGGCCUGAGAGGGUGAUCGGCCACACUGGGACUGAGACACGGCCCAGACUCCUACGGGAGGCAGCAGUAGGGAAUCUUCCGCAAUGGACGAAAGUCUGACGGAGCAACGCCGCGUGAGUGAUGAAGGCUUUCGGGUCG
rnacentral:rRNA from 1 species